rnacentral:rRNA from 1 species
GUAGGGAAUAUUGGGCAAUGGUCGGAAGACUGACCCAGCCAUGCCGCGUGCAGGAAGACGGCCCUCUGGGUUGUAAACUGCUUUUAUCUGGGAAGAAAAAGGCCAUGCGUGGCAAAUUGCCGGUACCAGAUGAAUAAGCACCGGCUAACUCCGUGCCAGCAGCCGCGGUAAUACGGAGGGUGCGAGCGUUGUCCGGAUUUAUUGGGUUUAAAGGGUGCGUAGGCGGCUGAUUAAGUCAGCGGUGAAAGACUUCGGCUUAACCGGAGCAGUGCCGUUGAUGCUGGUGGGCUUGAGUGUCGGAGGGGUACAUGGAAUUGAUGGUGUAGCGGUGAAAUGCAUAGAUACCAUCAGGAACACCGAUAGCGAAGGCAUUGUACUGGCCGACAACUGACGCUGAUGCACGAAAGUGUGGGGAUCGAACAGGAUUAGAAACCCGGGUAGUCC